GGGUGUGAGGGUGGCCUGGCGGCGACAUCUGUCACCCCAUUGAUCGCUAGGGUUGAUUCAGUUGAUCUGGCUGGCUGUCCCCUUCCUCCCUCACUGCUCCGUGUGUGUCCCUCCCAAAGCUGAUCACUUGGUACACAAGUAGCUGUACUCCCCUGCUCUCAGACAUGUAAGAGCCUUAGCAUGCAUUUGUGUGUUGGGGGCAGGGGAGGGCGGAGACAGAGAGAGAAAAGCUAGACCCUGGGAGUUUUACUGUGGGCAGUCUUUGUAU
rnacentral:sRNA from 1 species